rnacentral:rRNA from 1 species
UCGAACGAUGAUCCGGUGCUUGCACCGGGGAUUAGUGGCGAACGGGUGAGUAACACGUGAGUAACCUGCCCUUAACUCUGGGAUAAGCCUGGGAAACUGGGUCUAAUACCGGAUAUGACUCCUCAUCGCAUGGUGGGGGGUGGAAAGCUUUUUUGUGGUUUUGGAUGGACUCGCGGCCUAUCAGCUUGUUGGUGAGGUAAUGGCUCACCAAGGCGACGACGGGUAGCCGGCCUGAGAGGGUGACCGGCCACACUGGGACUGAGACACGGCCCAGACUCCUACGGGAGGCAGCAGUGGGGAAUAUUGCACAAUGGGCGCAAGCCUGAUGCAGCGACGCCGCGUGAGGGAUGACGGCCUUCGGGUUGUAAACCUCUUUCAGUAGGGAAGAAGCGAAAGUGACGGUACCUGCAGAAGAAGCGCCGGCUAACUACGUGCCAGCAGCCGCGGUAAUACGUAGGGCGCAAGCGUUAUCCGGAAUUAUUGGGCGUAAAGAGCUCGUAGGCGGUUUGUCGCGUCUGCCGUGAAAGUCCGGGGCUCAACUCCGGAUCUGCGGUGGGUACGGGCAGACUAGAGUGAUGUAGGGGAGACUGGAAUUCCUGGUGUAGCGGUGAAAUGCGCAGAUAUCAGGAGGAACACCGAUGGCGAAGGCAGGUCUCUGGGCAUUAACUGACGCUGAGGAGCGAAAGCAUGGGGAGCGAACAGGAUUAGAUACCCUGGUAGUCCAUGCCGUAAACGUUGGGCACUAGGUGUGGGGGACAUUCCACGUUUUCCGCGCCGUAGCUAACGCAUUAAGUGCCCCGCCUGGGGAGUACGGCCGCAAGGCUAAAACUCAA